AUGCUGAGGUCAAACAGCCCAAAAAAGAAAAAGCCAAGAAAAACAAAGGAAAAUCAAGUCCUGCAGCUGAUGCAGCAGUUUAUUCUGAAGUCACAUCAGGAAGCUCUCUCAGUCAGUGAGGAGAGCUGUAGCAGCAAAGCCAAGAAGAAGCUUUUUAUGAAGCCACUCUUGCUCCUCUGCUGCCCAAAUAUCAGACAUGCUCAGCUUUAUGUACAGUUACAAUAUUAAAUCAUAAUAUCUUAUAGAUUCAGUACUCUGUUAUAGCAUAAAGCAUAUUCCUAUUUGAGACCUAUGCUCUAUAUAGUCAGCUGUUUUUCAUUCUUAAAGCUUUUUUUUUAUAUAAAACUUAACUGAAUAUUUCCUGUUCAAACAUCAGUGAGAUCAAAGUGUGAAAUAUGUGAUCUUUAGUAGCUGAUAGUACGACUUAAAGUCAGCAGUGUUACAUUAGGAAGUACUGGUAUGAGCACCAACACAUACUUUCACUGUAUUUGUUUAAAGAUCUACAUUAUAUAAAACUGAUCUGAUCAGUACUGUAUGAAUUUGAAUGUAAUGAAUGUAUUUCUUGUUUUCUUCUUUGUUUUGUUUUAAACAUUUUUAACCUUUUCAUGCAUUUAUAGUUAGAAGUUUGUCCCUGCCAAAUGAACUAAAUGAAUAAAUAACAUCAGAAAUGGUGGUGUGUCAUUUACCUGUAACUUUUCCAUGGUGUUUAACAUAAAAUAAAGGGGGAAAAUGUGUUUUUUGUUAGUUUUUCCACAUGGUGCAAAACUUAAUUCAGACAGAGAAGUGAGCUACAGAAUCCAGAACUGGAAGAUCAGAUUUAUGUUCAUAAAUCAAAUUAAUCCAUAAAGAGACACGUUGCCUUUGUUCAGCUGUUUUUAGGCAAUUCUAGUCAUUAAUACCUUUAGAACACACAUGUCAG
rnacentral:lncRNA from 1 species